UACAGAGGUGGCAAGCGUUGUUCGGAAUUACUGGGCGUAAAGGGCGCGUAGGCGGCCUUGUAAGUCCCGUGUGAAAUCCCUCGGCUCAACUGAGGAACUGCACGGGAAACUGCUUGGCUUGAGUUCGGGAGAGGGAAGCGGAAUUCCGGGUGUAGCGGUGAAAUGCGUAGAUAUCCGGAGGAACACCGGUGGCGAAGGCGGCAUCCUGGACCAAUACUGACGCUGAGGAGCGAAAGCCAGGGGAGCAAACGGGAUUAGAUACCCCGGUAGU
rnacentral:rRNA from 1 species